UACGUAGGGGGGCAAGCGUUGUCCGGAGUUACUGGGCGUAAAGCGCACGCAGGCGGUCCGCUAAGUUUGAAGUGACAGUUGGUGGCUCAACCACCAAAGUGCUUUGAAAACUGACGGACUUGAGGGCUUCAGAGGGACACGGAAUUCCGGGUGGAGUGGUGAAAUGCGGCAGAUAUCAGGAAGAACACCCGUGGCUAAGGCGGCUCUCUAGUACGGUACUGACGCUGAGACGCGAAAAGCGUGGGGAGCGAACAGG
rnacentral:rRNA from 1 species